AGAGUUUGAUCAUGGCUCAGAUUGAACGCUGGAGGCGUGCUUAACACAUGCAAGUCGUGCGAGAAAGGGACUUCGGUCCUGAGUAGAGCGGCGCACGGGUGAGUAACGCGUGGGUGAUCUCCCUUGGUGAUCGGGAUAACAGUGGGAAACUGCUGCUAAUACCGGAUAAUCUUCAUGUUUAACUUCAUGGGGUAAAGGUGGCCUCUGCUUGCAAGCUACCACACCGAGAUGAGCCCGCGUCUCAUUAGCUAGUUGGUAUGGUAAUGGCCUACCAAGGCUACGAUGAGUACCUGGUCUGAGAGGAUGACCAGCCAC
rnacentral:rRNA from 1 species